rnacentral:rRNA from 1 species
GUGCACCAGGCGAGAAACCUUCGCAAUGCAGGAAACCGCGACGAGGGGACUCCCAGUGCCUACGCUCAGCGUAGGCUGUUCCCGAGCCUAGAAAGCUCGGGGAGUAAGGGCUGGGUAAGACGGGUGCCAGCCGCCGCGGUAAUACCCGCAGCCCGAGUGGUGGCCACUAUUAUUGGGCCUAAAGCGUCCGUAGCCGGCCCGGUAAAUGCCUGGGUAAAUCGUGAGGCCUAACCUCACGAAUUCCGGGUAGACUGCCGGGCUAGGGACCGGAGGAGGGAGAGGGUACUCCAGGGGUAGGGGUGAAAUCCUGUAAUCCCUGGAGGACCACCGGUGGCGAAGGCGCUCUCCUAGGACGGGUCCGACGGUGAGGGACGAAAGCCAGGGGAGCGAACCGGAUUAGAUACCCGGGUAGU